GGUGGUUCUUGGGGUGAUGCACCCCCAGAAUUGGGCUCCCUCCUCUCUGGUUCCAGGAUGUGUCACCGAGAACCGCU
rfam:Myotis lucifugus cont2.10029, whole genome shotgun sequence.